UUAUGCAGUUACAAGGACAGCAUAACGGAGAGAAUGCUCCACUGGUGCCAUUUCCUUAUGUGCUGUCAGCGAAUCACUUCAUCUGCGCUGUGCCGAGUUUCCCAUCCAUUAAAUGGGGGUGAUUUCCCCUCUGCUUCCUAAGGGGGAGUGGGAGCAGCACCUCCGAUGGCUGCGGGCACAGGAAGGUGCCACGGCGACGCGCAGUGACACAAAGAGCCGCAAAGAGCGAAAGAUCCCCAGAUAGGUUCAUCUCUACCGCUCAGGAUUUAAAAAGAUCUCCCAGGUCCGGACGUCCUGUGGGAAAGGAGAGGAAAACGCUGAGCGGGACGCACCGAUGGAUCCGGAGCUCUUCCUUCGCCCGUCCGCCGCCCCCUUCCCGACCCCCCCAUGGGCUGUGGGGGGGGAAAGGGGGGGGCACGGCCUCCUGGGGCGUGUAGGCAGAGCGGGGUGACCUUGCGGUGCGGUACGGGGGGGGGAACGGCCGCCGCUUCCGCCGCUCCGGAGCGCCGGGAAGGGAAGCGCCGGGUAUUGCGGGGAUCUGAGCGCUCCGGGGCCGGGAUGGGAGCAUCCCCUGCGCAUCCCAUGGACCACCCCGGCCUUAAUACCCCCCCCCGGUGCAGGUGGGGGCACGGACAGAGCCCAACCAGGCUGUUGCAGCUGCCGGAGGCACCAGGAGCUGGGAACUAAGAGAUAAUAACAAUAUUAAUAAGUAUUAUUGUUAUGGAAGUAGUGAUAUUUGGGGGAUAAUUGUCCGAGUGGAGCAUAAUAAUAAUAAUAAUAAUAAUGGAGCAUAACAAUAACAAACUGGUCGUAAUGAUAAUGUAAUGAAUAAUUCCUAAUAUAUUUUACUAAUUUGAAUGCUUAUUAUGAUCAUCACUACUUCCCUGUGGAUGAGUGGCCUCGCUGCCCCACGGGGUGCACGCACACAAGGCUGCCCGGAUGAGAAGCAGUUCCUUUACAGCUUUGUGUUUUCUCAGCCUUCCUUCCCAAGGACGGUUGUUCCAUAAAGCCUUACAGCUCCCGCGCGAUGCAUUGCUGCGUUCUUUAUUGUUUUCCUCGCCCUCAGAACAUCCGACGCCGUUUGUGUUUGUAGAGCCUUUUAAUAGCGAGGUGGCAGAGACAAACCUGGCUCGGUAAACUUGCCUUCCCCCCUAGGGCAGCUGUAGCCCAGAGAAACAGAGCGAGAGCCGCAGCUCAGCCUGGGAGCAGCGCUGUUUACAAUCCAUCAUUGUUAGUUAAUUGCUGUUUGGUUAAAUAUUUACUUUGGA